rnacentral:rRNA from 1 species
AUUGAACGCUGGCGGCAUGCCUUACACAUGCAAGUCGAACGGUAACAGGUUAAGCUGACGAGUGGCGAACGGGUGAGUAAUAUAUCGGAACGUGCCCAGUCGUGGGGGAUAACGUAGCGAAAGCUACGCUAAUACCGCAUACGAUCUACGGAUGGAAGCGGGGGAUCGCAAGACCUCGCGCGAUUGGAGCGGCCGAUAUCAGAUUAGGUUGUUGGUGAGGUAAAAGCUCACCAAGCCUGGGAUCUGUAGCUGGUCUGAGAGGACGACCAGCCACACUGGAAAUGACACACGGUCCAGACUCCUACGGGAGGCAGCAGUGGGGAAGUUUGGACAAUGGACGCAAGUCGGAUCCAGCAAUGCCGCGUGCAGGACGAAGGCCUUCGGGUUGUAAACUGCUUUUCUUUGUGAUGAAUUUGACAGUAGCAGAGGAAUAAGGGUCUGCUAACUACGGGGGACUCAUGACGGUACCGUAAGAAUAAGCACCGGCUAACUA